rnacentral:rRNA from 1 species
GAGAAUAAGGGGGGGGCCAAGUCUGGUUUCAGCCCGCCCGCGGUAAUACCAGCUCCUCGAGUGGUUUAGGACGUUUAUUGGGCCUAAAGCAUCCCGUAGCCCGGUUUUAUUGGUCUUCUAUUAAAUCUAAUAGCUUAACUAUUUGACUGUAGGGGAUACCAUAAGACUAGGAGGCGGGAGAGGCGGACGGUAUUUUGUGGGUAGGGGUAAAAUCCUUUGAUCCAUAGAGGACCACCAGUGGCGAAGGCGGUCCGCCAGAACGCGCUCGACGGUGAGGGAUGAAAGCUGGGGGAGCGAACCGGAUUAGAAUCCCGGGUAGUCCCAGCUGUAACCGAUGCAAGCUAGGUGGAUGGGAUGAUUUAAGUCAUCCCUGUGCCGCAGGGAAGCCGUUAAGCUUGCCGCCUGGGGAGUACGGUCGCAAGACUGAAACUUAAAGGAAUAGGCGGGGGA